GGUUAGGUAGCUCAGUCGGUAGAGCAAGGGACUGAAAAUCCCUGUGUCGGCGGUUCGAUCCCGCCCCUGACCACCA
rnacentral:tRNA from 1 species